rnacentral:lncRNA from 1 species
GUUCUGCAUUUCUGUCCUGUAAGGAACAGUGAUUGCCCCUGCUCCGGAAGAUGUAAUGUGUAAGGUACCAUCCUGGGGGUGGCCCUCUCCAGACACCAAGCCUGCUGGCACCUUGAUCUUGGACUUCCCAGCCUCCAGAACUGUGAGAAAUAAAUUUCUGUUCUUUAUUAAUUACCCAGCAAUUUUUAUAGCUGCACAAAAUGGUUUAAGACAGAGGUCAUAGCAAGCUUCAGUUUUUACUUUUUCCCCUUGCAUCUGAACAAUUGCAAGCAGAAAGAACAACUGAGUGCUUUAUUUCUGCAACCACCAUGCUGCUACUGAGUGAAGGGGAAGGAGGGGUAAGAGCUUGCCUUCUUUCCUUGUGUUAAUUGCAACAUCUUCCAAAACCCAGCAAGGAAGGCAUGAAGUGAGCCUACCAAGGCCAGUCUCCAGAUGAGGGGACUAUAGCUACAGAUUGCUAUGUUUCCUGUUGGUGGUGGUAGCAAGAUUUCAUAGGGGCCUUUCUUGCCAUUGCUCAAAAUGAAAUGCAUUGACACCAAAGGAAGUGGUGAAACUGUGGGCAUUGUAUGCUUUAGAAAUUUGAUAUUUGGAAACCUGCAGACCUGAAGAGGCAGUAGCUUCUCCUGAAGAUCUGAUAUCCAAGGGCUACCCAGACAAGGAGCUGACUUGUCAGGAAGUGUGGUGGACCUUGACGCAAAAACUCAAACCACAAAUGUUUCACUUCUAAAUUUUUGCAGGCUUUGUUAUAUAGACAUUUUUGUUAAGCCCUGUCUAAAACAAUAGGAUGACUGGGUUCUUUCCCCUCCUCAUGGUGACUACGUGCAUCUUCUACGAACAUUCCCAUGUCAUGUGGUCAGCUUCCAAGAAAGACUUUACCAAUGAGUCUGUUUACAGAUUCUCAACCAGAGGACUUACAGGAAUGCACAGUAGCUAUUUGUUUGGGAUGCAGAGGUACAUGAGCCCCAGACCUCAUCCCCAAUCAGGCAGUUGGGGGAAAACACACCUAACAUGGCAAGAUUCAUUGGCUACAGUUCAGCG